rnacentral:lncRNA from 1 species
UUAUGCUAAAUGUUAAAUAUAUCAAAUUUUAGUAAAAAAAAAUACUUUAACCUUUGACCAGGCUAUACACAAAAAAAUAAAAAAAUAAUUCUCUCCUCUGUCACAUUACGAGAAAUCAGUCGAUGAACUCGAUGAAAGAAGAAUCGAACGAGCAGCUUCUCUGUCUUUUGACGAAUCCUCCUCCUCCUUUCGAUAUCACGCUCGCCGUCCCACCGCCACCACCACCACCACACCAUGUUUCCUCUUGAUUCUUACUUCUUUUUGUAUAUGUUCCCUUGUUCUUCAUUGUUUAUGCUAGAUUGAUAGGAAUUGGCUGCCUUGGUUUGAAUUCUUGCUUGGUAAGUUGAUUUCUAGACAUGGUAGAGGGCUGUCGCCGCCGACGUCGUCUUCAGGGAAUCGGACGCUUCCAAUUUAGU